GGAACACGCCGUUCUCUGCCUUUGUUUCCUCUUCCUAUGAAUCCCACUUCUCUUUGCGUUAGUAGGGCCUUGUUUCCACUUUCCAUUUCCCAUUUCUCAGUCUUUCAAUUGCUAACUCUCUAUCACAAUUCACAGAGCCUUAGAUUUAACCAUUUCUCUCCAAUCUCCAUUGCGCCGCCCCACAAUUCACAGAGCCUCAAAGGUCAUAGCCCUCACGUCGAUCUUCCCCAUUUAUCUAAUCUACAUCGCGUAUCUUUCAUGCAAGGCAAUCUCCGUCAGCCUUCUUAGUUUCCAUGAAUCCCUCGCUACUCACAUAGCCACUGUUGCCAUCUGUGGUGGUGGCGGUGGUGCCCAUGUGCCGAAGUCUCUGAUUCUCUCGAUUGUGGGCUUUUCUACUCUUGGUUGAAUAGUGUUCUCUACUCUUGAUUGAUUAGUGUUCUCCUAUUGUUGGGUUUGGGUGAGUAUGUCACUGUAUAUUCUACUUUUCAAUUUAAAUUUACAGUGUAUAUUCUAAUAUAUUAAGUAAAUGUUGAAAUGUUGAUUGGUUG
rnacentral:misc_RNA from 1 species